rnacentral:rRNA from 1 species
AGAUGUGUGUCAGAGGGAGUGCAUUCCGCGUGUAGCAGUGAAAAUGCGUAGAUAUGCGGAGGACACCGAUGGCGAAAGGCAGCCUCCUGGGAUCACACUGACGCUCAUGCACGAAAGCGUGGGGAGCAAACAGGAUUAGAUACCUGGUAGUCCACGCCCUAAACGAUGUCAACUAGCUGUUGGGGCCUUCGGGCCUUGGUAGCGCAGCUAACGCGUGAAGUUGACCGCCUGGGGAGUACGGUCGCAAGAUUAAAACUCAAAGGAAUUGACGGGGACCCGCACAAGCGGUGGAUGAUGUGGAUUAAUUCGAUGCAACGCGAAAAACCUUACCUACCCUUGACAUGUCUGGAAUGCCGAAGAGAUUUGGCAGUGCUCGCAAGAGAACCGGAACACAGGUGCUGCAUGGCUGUCGUCAGCUCGUGUCGUGAGAUGUUGGGUUAAGUCCCGCAACGAGCGCAACCCUUGUCAUUAGUUGCUACGAAAGGGCACUCUAAUGAGACUGCCGGUGACAAACCGGAGGAAGGUGGGGAUGACGUCAAGUCCUCAUGGCCCUUAUGGGUAGGGCUUCACACGUCAUACAAUGGUCGGGACAGAGGGUCGCCAACCCGCGAGGGGGAGCCAAUCCCAGAAACCCGAUCGUAGUCCGGAUCGCAGUCUGCAACUCGACUGCGUGAAGUCGGAAUCGCUAGUAAUCGCGGAUCAGCAUGUCGCGGUGAAUACGUUCCCGGGUCUUGUACACACCGCCCGUCACACCAUGGGAGUGGGUUUUACCAGAAGUAGCGAGAGUAAGAGGCACGCUCAGACGACACGACACAGACCU